CCUGCCCCUAGAGGCCGUGCGGUGAGGCUACUGUGCCAUGUGCUUCUGUAGGUGGCUGAGAGGAGAGAGGUUAGGUCUAGGCUCAGUUCUCUGACCUAGGAACACCUGAACGAUUAGCAGCCUACUAUU